UACAGUUUGAUCAUGGCUCAGAUUGAACGCUGGCGGAAUGCUUUACACAUGCAAGUCGAGCGGCAGCGCGGGGCAACCNNNCGGCGAGCGGCGAACGGGUGAGUAAUACAUCGGAACGUACCCAGUUGUGGGGGAUAGCCCGGCGAAAGCCGGAUUAAUACCGCAUACGACCUGAGGGUGAAAGCGGGGGAUCGCAAGACCUCGCGCAGUUGGAGCGGCCGAUGGCGGAUUAGCUAGUUGGUGAGGUAAUGGCUCACCAAGGCGACGAUCCGUAGCUGGUCUGAGAGGACGACCAGCCACACUGGAACUGAGACACGGUCCAGACUCCUACGGGAGGCAGCAGUGGGGAAUUUUGGACAAUGGGGGAAACCCUGAUCCAGCCAUUCCGCGUGAGUGAAGAAGGCCUUCGGGUUGUAAAGCUCUUUCGGCAGGAACGAAACGGUCUUUUCUAAUACAAGAGGCUAAUGACGGUACCUGAAGAAGAAGCACCGGCUAACUACGUGCCAGCAGCCGCGGUAAUACGUAGGGUGCGAGCGUUAAUCGGAAUUACUGGGCGUAAAGCGUGCGCAGGCGGUUAUGUAAGACAGAUGUGAAAUCCCCGGGCUUGACCUGGGAACUGCGUUUGUGACUGCAUAACUUGAGUGUGGCAGAGGGGGGUGGAAUUCCACGUGUAGCAGUGAAAUGCGUAGAGAUGUGGAGGAACACCGAUGGCGAANGCAGCCCCCUGGGUCAACACUGACGCUCAUGCACGAAAGCGUGGGGAGCAAACAGGAUUAGAUACCCUGGUAGUNNNNGCCCUAAACGAUGCGAA
rnacentral:rRNA from 1 species